rnacentral:rRNA from 1 species
GUCGACGAGUUCUCGUUGAUGAUCGGUGCUUGCACUGAGAUUCAACAUGGAACGAGUGGCGGACGGGUGAGUAACACGUGGGUAACCUGCCCUUAAGUGGGGGAUAACAUUUGGAAACAGAUGCUAAUACCGCAUAGAUCCAAGAACCGCAUGGUUCUUGGCUGAAAGAUGGCGUAAGCUAUCGCUUUUGGAUGGACCCGCGGCGUAUUAGCUAGUUGGUGAGGUAAUGGCUCACCAAGGCGAUGAUACGUAGCCGAACUGAGAGGUUGAUCGGCCACAUUGGGACUGAGACACGGCCCAAACUCCUACGGGAGGCAGCAGUAGGGAAUCUUCCACAAUGGACGCAAGUCUGAUGGAGCAACGCCGCGUGAGUGAAGAAGGCUUUCGGGUCGUAAAACUCUGUUGUUGGAGAAGAAUGGUCGGCAGAGUAACUGUUGUCGGCGUGACGGUAUCCAACCAGAAAGCCACGGCUAACUACGUGCCAGCAGCCGCGGUAAUACGUAGGUGGCAAGCGUUAUCCGGAUUUAUUGGGCGUAAAGCGAGCGCAGGCGGUUUUUUAAGUCUGAUGUGAAAGCCCUCGGCUUAACCGAGGAAGCGCAUCGGAAACUGGGAAACUUGAGUGCAGAAGAGGACAGUGGAACUCCAUGUGUAGCGGUGAAAUGCGUAGAUAUAUGGAAGAACACCAGUGGCGAAGGCGGCUGUCUGGUCUGUAACUGACGCUGAGGCUCGAAAGCAUGGGUAGCGAACAGGAUUAGAUACCCUGGUAGUCCAUGCCGUANACGAUGAAUGCUAGGUGUUGGAGGGUUCCCGCCCUUCAGUGCCGCAGCUAACGCAUUAAGCAUUCCGCCUGGGGAGUACGACCGCAAGGUUGAAACUCAAAGGA